GGCUCCAUAGCUCAGUAGUAAGAGCACUGGUUUUAUUGACUAGGGGUUGAGAGUUCAAUCCUUACUGGAACCU